AACACUUCCUUACCUUGUUCAGAGUCAUGAUAAUGCAUUCAAACUGUGUUGAAAAGCUAAGUUUGGGGUAAAACCCCCAAAAGUUCCCAAAGCCCAAGAAAGUGCGAGAAAAAAAAGAAAAAAAAUGAUGAAUCGAGAGAAAGAAAGAAAAAAAAAGAGAAAAAUUUAUAACUCGAAGAUCAAAAAAGAAGCACGAAAAAGGGCAUUUGGUGAAGAAAAAAAUAAGAAAAGAAAACCGAGCAAAUAAAAGAAACAAACACAAUAUGU
rnacentral:lncRNA from 1 species